UUCUUUCUGUUUUACUUUACUUUUGUUUUUGCUUCUCAGCAAAAGAGACACCCGUACUUCUUUACCAAUUCAACACACAACGAAGGCGUUCAAAUCCAAAAUCAACACGCGCCGGCUCACGCGCUACCCUUCAAUCCCCAGGCUCCGCUAAGAUGGAACAAACCACGCUGGAACAAGACCGACGACCUGAUCCGAAGGAUCCACCAGCUCACGCCCUGAACGGAAACGCGAAGAGCUCCGAUGAGGCCACCGCAGAAAAGCCACCGGUUUCGUCGGGAUCGGAAUCGAUGCGGUCGACGGAGGGAUCCGUUGAGCACGCAGCUUCUCCGGGAAGCGUCAAGAAGUCGGUGCGGUGGAGUCCUGACUUGGUGACCGAAUCAACCUUCGUGUCGAGUCCCGAGGAAUCUCGUUCCAAUCCCUACUUUUCUUCAUCUUCUUCGUUCAACGUCACGGAUAAGGUGGAAACCGUUAGGAAUGUGCUUGGCAGGUGGAGAAGGAAGGUGGGAGAAGCUUCCCGUAAGGCUGAGACUCUUGCCGGAAACACUUGGCAGCACUUAAAAACAAACCCAAGUUUCACUGAAGCUGCUGUGGGACGAAUUGCCCAGGGAACAAAGGUACUUGCAGAAGGUGGUUACGAGAAAAUUUUCCUACGUACUUUUGACACAGUUCCAGGGGAACAUCUUCAAAAUUCUUUUGCAUGUUAUCUAUCCACAUCAGCUGGACCAGUAAUGGGAAUUUUGUAUAUAUCCACUGCAAAACUUGCUUAUUGUAGUGACAAUCCUCUUUCCUAUAAAUCCGACAACCAAACAGAAUGGAGCUAUUAUAAGCUAUUCUGGUUCUGGGAAAAUAACAAGAGUUUUUUCUUUGGUGGGGAGAGACUAAGAGUUGUCUUUUGAGGUGUCAUUUGCACCAAAAUUUAAUUACCCUGUGUUGUGCUGCUCAAAGACUCACUGAUUUGAACUUUUCAACAACUGCUUGCAGGAAUAAGGUAGUCAUCCCAUUACAUCAGCUAAAAGCGGUUAAUCCUUCGGCAAGCCGAGUCAAUCCCUCUGAAAAGUACAUCCAGGUGAUUUCUGCUGACAAUCAUGAAUUUUGGUAUAUGGGCUUCUUAAACUACGAAGGUGCUGUUGAAUGCUUGCAAAACUUGUUUGAAGCCAGCAGAUUGCAAUCAGAAUAAUGGUCUGUCUGUAAUAUUUAGACUUUCAUUCACAUUACAUGUGCAUGUUGUUACAAGAGUUAUAGGUUGGUGGAUUUUUUUUUCUUUUUGUGUAGCUGUUGAUAAAUGCAUUUGGCACCAUUCAAAGUUUUGCCAAUUUUGUUGAUGUUAUUGUUAACUAAACCACAGGUUUUGUGUCUGGAUGAGUGGAUCAUUUAAGGGGAUCGAUCCGUUAGAGUAGUUUAGAUAACUAUUUUACAAUUUUAUUUAUUAUUUUAUGGAAUUCUAA